AAGUCCCGCAACGAGCGNAACCCCUAUCUUUAGUUGCUAGCAGGUAAUGCUGAGGACUCUAAAGAAACUGCCAGCGCAAGCUGAGAGGAAGCGGGGACGACGUCAAGUCAUCACGGCCCUUACGUCCUGGGCCACACACGUGCUACAAUGGUCAGUACAGAGGGCAGCUACCUAGCGAUAGGAUGCGAAUCUCGAAAGCUGAUCUCAGUUCGGAUUGGAGUCUGCAACUCGACUCUAUGAAGCUGGAAUCGCUAGUAAUCGCGUAUCAGCCAUGACGCGGUGAAUACGUUCCCGGGCCUU
rnacentral:rRNA from 1 species